UACGUAGGGUGCGAGCGUUAAUCGGAAUUACUGGGCGUAAAGCGUGCGCAGGCGGUUUUGUAAGCCAGAUGUGAAAUCCCCGGGCUUAACCUGGGAAUGGCAUUUGGGACUGCAAGGCUGGAGUGCGGCAGAGGAGACUGGAAUUCCUGGUGUAGCAGUGAAAUGCGUAGAUAUCAGGAGGAAUACCGAUGGCGAAGGCAGGUCUCUGGGACGGUACUGACGCUGAGACGCGAAAGCGUGGGGAGCGAACAGG
rnacentral:rRNA from 1 species